rnacentral:pre_miRNA from 1 species
UAUUAAAAAUUUUAUCCAAUUUUACGAUUAAAAAUUAGUGUGAUUGAUAGAAUAAUCAGAAAUAACACGUUGCAUGCCAUAUAUACCUCAUACUGACAUACAAAAAUUAAUUUUUAUAAAAAAAAUAAAUGAAAUUUUUAAUA